GGAUCAUUAACGAUUUCGGCGUAAAAAACCGUUUUCUACUUAUGUCUACGCGUACCACUUGUUUCCUCGGGGGGCUUGCCCCCCGCUAGGACCUUUUAUCAAACCUUUUUGUAAUAGCAGUCAGCGUCUGAUACUACGUUAAUUAUUAAAACUUUCAACAAUGGAUCUCUUGGUUCUGGCAUCGAUGAAGAACGCAGCGAAAUGCGAUAAGUAGUGUGAAUUGCAGAAUUCAGUGAAUCAUCGAAUCUUUGAACGCACAUUGCGCCCCUUGGUAUUCCAUUGGGGCAUGCCUGUUCGAGCGUCAUUUGAACCCUCAAGCUCUGCUUGGUGUUGGGUGUUUGUCCCGCCAUCGCGCGUGGA
rnacentral:misc_RNA from 1 species